AACGGGACAGCUGAACGAUUUGGUAUUAGAACUAGGAUAUCUGAAUGACAUGGUACCAGGAGUGGGGUAUCUGAAUGACAUGGUGUUAGAAGUCUUGUCCUAACCUGCUGAAACGAAUGAAAGAGGUCAGAAGCAAAUUUCAGCUGGAAUGAAAAACUGACCAGGAAGCCCAGGAACACAUAUAAAUGAACUUUUAAUGUGAAAACACAAAAUAAAAUCAUGGUUAAGCACUUUCUUCUGUGAACAGACCUCUUCAGAACCAUGAGUUACAAAGACUGCGAUGCUGCUUAAAAGCUUAAAUGAGCUGGAACCAUAUUCCCAGCAAAAAACAAUUAAAUGCUUCAAGUCCUGAAAACAUCGCAAGUGUUUUAAAGAGGCAUGAGCUUGCAAAGAAAAACAGAAGAAAAGAAAAAAGUUAAUAGUUAAUAAAAGAUGCUGUAGAAUACUGUAAAGUUCUGUAAAAUAAAUCUAUGACAUAAAUCUUA